CGGAAGAGACCUGUUUGGGUUUGGAGGAGGAAGCAUGGAGGGGAGGAAGGAGAUGUUUUUGGAGAGCCAGCAGGCCAGGCAUGCAGCAACCUGAACUCAAGUUGGCUGUUACAACGAUCAGUCUGUGUUAUGCCAGAACGCUGACAGCAAGGUACCUGGUGGACAGUCACUGGUUCAAACAGUGGAAGAAACAUGUGGGACAAAUACCAGAUGGGUGACCAGAAUGUCAACCCAGGACCAGUUGAUGACUCUUACUCUCUUUUCAGAGAUGGGGGAUGCGCUGGCCAUCAAGGAGCACCACGUCGUUGAGCUUGACUACAUCUUGGUCACAACAGAGGGGCUGGAAUAAUCUCGUCAACUGGUAUGGAUUGACAGAGAAUCAGGAGCCAAUUUCACGCAAGGACUGUGGGAGGGGGCCGGUGAAAACCCACACUGACACGAGGAGAACGUCCAAAGACAUGCAGAUUUGAAAAAGACAGCGAUGGAUACGACAGGAUUGGUGAUCUUGCUGCUUCUAGCACUAACGACACUUUGACUGGGCGUCUCCAGAGAAUACCACUACGUACAGCAUGCUGAACACCUGGAAUGAAGCUCAGAGUGACUGUAGAGGAGAUUUUGCCAACCUGGCGACCAUAGAGACAAAAACAGCUCUGACAAACUUGUAUGGACAGGACUUCAUGAUCACAUUAACAGCUGGAGGCGGUCCAUGGACAACACAUAUCUCUACGGUGAUGAUGGCAGCACAGAAUUUGGAGAAUGGUUUGUUUUAGUAUUGGACGACCACCAAGGUAGAGAGCACUGUGUGGAAAUCAUUAUGGGCUCAUUGUAUGACUUUUGAUCAAUUGCAGAGGCAUGACUCUGAGGAUAAAAGUAUCCAGUAAAAGUGUCCUAAAAAUGUAUUUAGUGAUUUGUUAUCAGAUCAGAAGGAAGUUAUCCUGGUUGGUCAAAUUUGCAACUAAUUCUAUUCAAUUCUAUCUUCAAAUAUUUGAUUUGAAGCUAUCCAACAGUGUUGUCAGCAUGGCGGCACAGUGUGAAUUUCAGCUAUCUUAUGGGACAACAUUAUUAGCCAGGAAGUUGGUAUCAAUAAUACGUUUAUUCUGUCUUGUAGAUGGAGAAACAUGUGAGGGACCAUGGGAUCAGUCAGAAGUUCAGACUGAGAUGGAGGAAGAUGGAAAAAUCGUACCAAAGACAGGUUGAACCGUUACUGUAAAUGCUGUCUGUUUUCCUUCUCAUACAAACGACACAGUCUCUGCUUUUAAAACAUGAAGCCUUUUUAUUUAACAAGUACUGAGAUACAUAUUUAAAGCAUUUAAAUCUAUGCCAAUUAUGUACUUUGUGUGUUUAAGUGGAGCUUUAAUUAGGCCUACUGUUUGCCCUGCUGUUGUUAUAUUGGUACUUCUUACAAAACAGUUUUAAAUAACAAUAAAUGCAAAGUGUGUUUUUGCUUAGUCUUAAUGAAUGCAUGAGGAAAGGUGAUGGUCCGUUUUUAAAAGAGGUUGGUAGUUCACAGUAGAUUACUGUGACACCAUUUAGGCUGUGGCC